GACGAACGCUGGCGGUGUGCUUAACACAUGCAAGUCGAACGGUAAGGCCCUUUCGGGGGUACACGAGUGGCGAACGGGUGAGUAACACGUGAGUAACCUGCCCUCAUCUCUGGGAUAACAGUCGGAAACGGUUGCUAAUACUGGAUAUGAGCUUGCAAGGCAUCUUGUGGGUUGGAAAGAUUUUUUUGGUUGGGGAUGGACUCGCGGCCUAUCAGCUUGUUGGUGAGGUAGUGGCUCACCAAGGCUUCGACGGGUAGCCGGCCUGAGAGGGCGACCGGCCACAUUGGGACUGAGAUACGGCCCAAACUCCUACGGGAGGCAGCAGUGGGGAAUAUUGCACAAUGGACGGAAGUCUGAUGCAGCAACGCCGCGUGCGGGAUGACGGCCUUCGGGUUGUAAACCGCUUUCAAUUGUGACGAAGCUUUUUGUGACGGUAGCAGUAGACGAAGCACCGGCUAACUACGUG
rnacentral:rRNA from 1 species